AUGGGCUAGAGUUAAUCCUACUUGGAUAACUGUGGUAAUUCCAGAGCUAAUACAUGCAACUCUUAUCCUGACGUAGCGCGGCUUAUCUCUUUCUCGCUCUCUCACGAGUGUGUGUUUUGGGUUUGUCGUAGCGCUGACGGAUGCUUUUAUUAGACCAAACCGCUGGGUGCGUGUUCGUGUUUAUUCGCGGAUGCGUACGGCUCGUUUAAUGGUGACUCUGGAUAACCUUAUUGACAAGCGCACGUACUCCUCGUGGGACGGCGCUGCCACUUUCGAGUGUCUGCCUUAUCAGCUAUCAACCGUUCGUUAUGUGCGCACGAUGGCUUUGACGGGUAACGGGGAAUCAGAGUUCGAUUCCGGAGAGGCAGCCUGAGAGACGGCUACCACGUCCAAGGACGGCAGCAGGCACGCAAAUUACCCAAUCCCAGCACCUGGGGGAGGUAGUGACGAAAUCUAACGAUGCGGGCGCCCUUUCUGGGGCCCCGCAAUCGGAAUGGCCACUUUCUAAACAACCUGUUGAGAACCUACUGAAGGGCAAGUCUGGUGCCAGCAGCCGCGGUAAUUCCAGCUUCAGUAGCAUCUAUUAAAGUUGCUGCGGUUAAAAGGCUCGCAGUUGAAUGUCAGUAUCGAGCGCA
rnacentral:rRNA from 1 species